rnacentral:rRNA from 1 species
ACGGGUGAGUAACGCGUGGGAAUCUACCUUUUGCUACGGAAUAACGCAUGGAAACGUGUGCUAAUACCGUAUGUGCCCUUCGGGGGAAAGAUUUAUCGGCAAAGGAUGAGCCCGCGUUGGAUUAGCUAGUUGGUGGGGUAAAGGCCUACCAAGGCGACGAUCCAUAGCUGGUCUGAGAGGAUGAUCAGCCACAUUGGGACUGACACACGGCCCAAACUCCUACGGGAGGCAGCAGUGGGGAAUAUUGGACAAUGGGCGCAAGCCUGAUCCAGCCAUGCCGCGUGAGUGAUGAAGGCCUUAGGGUUGUAAAGCUCUUUCACCGGUGAAGAUAAUGACGGUAACCGGAGAAGAAGCCCCGGCUAACUUCGUGCCAGCAGCCGCGGUAAUACGAAGGGGGCUAGCGUUGUUCGGAUUUACUGGGCGUAAAGCGCACGUAGGCGGAUCGAUCAGUCAGGGGUGAAAUCCCAGGGCUCAACCCUGGAACUGCCUUUGAUACUGUCGAUCUGGAGUAUGGAAGAGGUGAGUGGAAUUCCGAGUGUAGAGGUGAAAUUCGUAGA